rnacentral:rRNA from 1 species
CCUACGGGAGGCAGCAGUGAGGAAUAUUGGUCAAUGGGCGAGAGCCUGACCCAGCCAAGUAGCGUGAAGGAUGACUGCCCUACGGGUUGUAACCUUCUUUUAUAAAGGAAUAAAGUGAGGCACGUGAGCCUUUUUGUAUGUACUUUAUGAAUAAGGAUCGGCUAACUCAGUGCCAGCAGCCGCGGUAAUACGGAGGGUACGAGCGUUAUCCGGAUUUAUUGGGUUUAAAGGGAGCGUAGAUGGGUUGUUAAGUCAGUUGUGAAAGUUUGCGGCUCAACCGUAAAAGUGCAAUUGAUACUGGCAGCCUUGAGUACAGUAGAGGGAGGCGGAAUUCGUGGUGUAGCGGUGAAAUGCUUAGAUAUCACGAAGAACUCCGAUUGCGAAGGCAGCUUACUAAACUGCCACUGACAUUGAGGCGCGAAAGUGUGGGUAUCAAACAGGAUUAGAUACCCCAGUAGUC